ACACGUGGCUAACCUACCCUUAGGACGGGGAAGACCCCGGGAAACUGGGGCUGAUACCCGAUAGGUGAGGAGGCCUGGAAUGGUUCCUAGUCGAAAAGGCGUUGAAACCAUGCUUUUCGACGUCGCCUAAGGAUGGGGCCGCCCCCGAUCAGGUUGUUGGUGGGGUAACGGCUCACCAAGCCUAUAACCGGUACGGGCCGUGAGAGCGGGAGCCCGGAGAUGGGCACUGAAACAAGGGCCCAGGCCCUACGGGGCGCAGCAGUCGCGAAAACUCCGCAAUGCGCGAAAGCGUGACGGGGCUACCCCGAGUGCCGUCCGCUGAGGAUGGCUUUUCCUCGGUGUAAUGAGCCGGGGGAAUAAGGAGAGGGCGAGUCUGGUGUCAGCCGCCGCGGUAAUACCAGCUCUCCGAGUGGUAGGGAUGAUUAUUGGGCUUAAAGCGU
rnacentral:rRNA from 1 species